CAGAAGAGGAGGGAAGCUGCCACUGAAGAUGACAGUGGAGAGCCUGGAUAUGAAAUACUCCUCUCAAAAUAUAAGGAACGCAUCACCACCGAGAAUGCCACAUGCAAAGAGCAGAGCAACACGCAGCAGCGCGUGCAGUCGGUGCGCCAGUUCCUUAUUAACAGUGCGGUGGGCGGCGUGCCACAUGCUGACCUGUUAUAUCUGCGCGACCACAGCAGGAUCCGGGAAGCUGUGAGAACAUGGGUUGCAUCCAGCCUGAAGCCCACCACGGU